AACGAACGCUGGCGGCGUGCCUAACACAUGCAAGUCGAGCGAGAAAAGGGGAGCAAUCCCCUGAGUACAGCGGCGCACGGGUGAGUAACACGUAGGUGAUCUCCCCUCGAGCCCGGAAUAACCUACCGAAAGGUGGGCUAAUACCGGAUAUGACCACGGGAGUUUCGGCUCCUGCGGUGAAAGAUGGCCUCUACCUGUAAGCUAUCACUCAAGGAUGAGCCUGCGGCCAUUAGCUAGUUGGUGAGGUAACGGCUCACCAAGCGAUGAUGGCUAGCUGGUCUGAGAGGAUGGCCAGCCACACUGGGACUGAAACACGGCCCAGACUCCUACGGGAGGCAGCAGUGGGGAUAUUGCGCAAUGGGCGAAAGCCUGACGCAGCGACGCCGCGUGGGUGAUGAAGGCCUU
rnacentral:rRNA from 1 species